GGAGAGGUGGCUGAGCGGUUGAAAGCGGCGGUCUUGAAAAUCGUUGUGGGGGUAACUUCACCGGGGGUUCGAAUCCCCCCUUCUCCG
rnacentral:tRNA from 1 species